UCGGGCGGGUGUGGCGAUUUGUUACCGGAUUGCGGGCCACGUUAAACAAGCCGCUAAAGAGGUCAGGGGAUUUGCGCC
rnacentral:ncRNA from 2 species